rnacentral:lncRNA from 1 species
CUAAACUGACCAUUUGAGGCAGACAUUCUAAACUUUACUUGAUGAUAACCAAUAAACGAGAAACGAAUGAGUAGAUAGAAAUUGUGAAAUUGACCUCACUUGAUGGCAUGACAGACCGUCAAGAAUAUAUCUAGAACAAUUGCAUUUUUUGUUUAUGAUACUGACUUUAUCAGCAAGAAUAUCAAGCGAGCCCGCUAGGGCGAGCUGAUAUUCGAGCUGAUGAAGUCAUCAUCAAAACAUAAAAUGCCAUUGUUCUUUUUAUCGGCAAUUUGUCUUAACAAAAUGUGUUUUAGGUUUAGAAUAUGGAAUAAAUGAAUUAGUUUGUCAAACAACUUUUACGCGUACAAAACGUCGGGAUAGUUGUUCGGUUGUAUGAAUGAAGUCGCGUGCAGUUCAUUGGUAAAUUACCGACGAACAUAGCACGAGACGUUGCUGCAGUGAUAUACGUGACGUCAUUACCUACUAUUUUCGAGUAUCUAGUCCUGUCCAUAAUCCAAACAAAUAUUUGGCAGUAAGCUCAAAGACAAAAUGUACAAAUUGACGAUAAUUGUACCUAAAUACAU